GCCAUCUGAGGCAGAGCUGGAGGAGGGCUGUCCUUAGUCUGGGGCUCCCACGGUUUCCCCGGGGGCCUCAUAGACCAGCCCUGACCCUGCAGCUGCCCCCUUGGGCCCCCAGGGGUCUGUCCUGCCUGGAAAUGUGGAUCCCUGAUGGGCAGAGGGCCCUAUGGCUAAGCAGCGGGCAGCGCGGGGCCAAGUCCCAGGCCUGGGGGACACCAGCAGCCAGGGAGGAGGAUCAAAGCCUGGCCUGACUUUCCGCCCAGAUGAGUCAUCCAGCACCCUGCCUGGGCCCCAUCCCCCUCCUGAAGUUCCUCCUUCUGAUAGAUGGAGGCAGGGGUCAGACCCCCCAGCCCCGGGCAGCUGAGCCAACACUGCCGGACCCCCAUGGAGCACAGGAGAGUGGGGACAAGGGGUGCCGUGGUCAGAGCCCCAGGCCCCAGGAACCUGCAGUGCCUCUUGCCCCAACACCAGGCCCUUCCUUGGCUCCAAGAGCCGAAAAGAGAAGCUCCCAAAAGACGGGGUCCACUGUGACCCCCUGCCCCACACCCCACCACAGCACAGCCUAUUGGCUCUGCCACCAGGCUUGCCUCUUCUGCCCCCAGGGCCACCGUCCCCCGGGGCUGCAGCCUCCACCCCCCUUCACCACCCCCUCAGCGAAGCACCAGGGAGGCCCCGCAGCUUCCGGAGCACCCGGGAGGGCUUCUCCCUGGGCCCACCUCCUGGGGGGACCCACCCAGGCCACAGUUGGCCCCUCUUCCUCCCGUCAGCACCGCCAUCCCGCGCGCUGGACACCUGGCCUGCCCCAUGCUGCCGGCCCCUCUCUUGCUCACCUGUGUUAGUAGCCCACGCGGACAGAGGCGGAGGGAGGGACAGGGAGGGACAAAGCACACUGACUGGGCGUCGUCGCUGCAUCUGGGGUGGGAUGGUCCUCGACCAGCCACCACCAUGUAAGGCGGGGCCCGCAGGUGAUUGGGGGCAGCCUGUAGUGCAGGUGCCACGUGUGUGCACGAGGGUCCCUGGGUGUGUGAGCCUAGGCCACUGUCACAGUCUGUGCCCACUGAAUCUGCCUGGUGUGCUGGUGUCCUUCUGGAGGGAGCCAGAGGACAGCAGGGUGAAGACAAUGUCACCUGCUGCGAGGGGGGGCCAGGUCCUCAGCCUGGAGGUCAAGGUGCGGGCCCUGGCCCUUCCCCGCUGUGUGACUUGCCCCGUGGUGUGCCUCAGGGGACAGGUGGUUAAGGGAGCUCCCGCAGAGCCCUGCUGGGAAUGCAGCCCCCCUCCCUGUCUCCUGUCCCUCCCUGUCCCUGGGGCCCAGCCUCCCAGGCCUGCUUCCCAUCUGCUAAAUGGGCAUAAGAGCAGAUGGCCACAUGCAGGGGUCAUGGGGCCCAGGAGCCGGGCUGGAGCAAGGCCAGGUGGGGCCUGGCCCGCAGGGCCUCGGGAGGCUGCCCGAACAGAGGGGGUGUCUGCAGCCAAGGUCAGGCUGGGCGGGGGUCGGGCUGGGACCUUGCCCAGCACAACGAGGACAGGAGGAAGAGAGGUCACGAAGCCUGGGCCUUCCUUCUCAGGCCUCGUCCUCUGCAGAGGCGGGGACCUGGAGACCCCCGGCCACAGCCUGCUCCCGCUCUGAGCGUCAGGAGGGAGAGGCUGCGCGGCUGAACUCCUGCGUGGGAGGAGACGCCCAGAGAUGCUGCUCCUCUGACCAAGGUCCACAGCAGGUCUGCGCACAGGGGAGGCCUUGCUGUGUCUGCCACCCAGUGGGACCAGAUCAGCAGGAGAGGAGGGGAGGAGGAGGGCAGAGGAGCUACAUGGUGGGGGUGGGCAGGUCAGGCCCCAGCACCUCCAAGAAAAUGGAGUCUCCCUUCCCUGGAUAUUGUGGACAAGAGGGCUCUGCGGGCCAGGCCGGGAGCUCAGGGUCUGAGGUCAGCAGGACACUGUCCUGAGGCUCAGAGGACAGGGAGGCCGCCCUGCCAACAGGUGGAGCACCCGGGAGGCAGCGGGGCAGGUUCCAGGAUGGGCCGGGCCAUGCUGUCCCCACCAUGUCCCCACUGUGUCAUGGACACGCACCUCGUGCUCUGGGCUUGAAGGUGCUCCUGGGUAAAAGGGCAGGGAGCACUUGGCACAAGGCCUGGCAGAGGGAGCACGCUGGACAGGGGAGCCAGGACGCUGUAUCACCAAUCACGGGCGCGGUUGCCAGGUGCCGUGGUACCCACUGCAGUGUGGAGGUGGGAGGGGACAAAUAAGGGGCAUCCAGAGCGGGGAGUGAGCCAGGCCUCCCCGGGAGGCUGCUGUGCUUCAAGGGGUCUCCCAGGUUCACUGGCUGGAAACAGUCCCCAGGGCAGCUGCCAGGAGAGUGGCCAGGAGGUGGUCAGGUCAUGGGUGUCUGCCACCCAGUGGGGACCCCCACCCUCACGGUGGAUGAGGGUCUUUAAGCCAGAGUGGGCUCCCUAUCCAGAGAGUGAGGUGUUUUUUGGGAGGGGGGACUGGAGAGUGAACAUGGGGAGCUUCACAACUGAGCCACAUCCCCAGCUCUUUCCAUUUUUUAUUUUGAGACAGGGCCUCGCUAAGUUGCUGAGGCUGGCUUUGACCUUGGGAUCCUCCUGCCUCAGCCUCUGGAGCCUCGGAGAUUACAGAUGUGAACCACUGCACUUGACAGGAGUGAGGAGACAACCUGGCCACGUGGCAGCCACUUACCACGGGGUAGGUUCUUCUAGUUCCCUUGAUGAUGUUUUCUCAUGCUACUAAUGAUCUAUUAAGGACAUCCAGAGGAGGGGACAUGGGGACGUGCAAGAGAAGCCCAGGGAGCACUCAGGAGAGCCAGUGGCCACUGUGCCUGCAGAGGACCUUGGGAAGUCUCUUCCUUCUCAGACACGUGGUUCCCUGUUGAAGAUGAGGACACUGGGUGGGACGUGGGCCCUCCCUGGUCCUUUUCUGGGAGCUACUGCUUGGUAGCUCCAGGAGUGGUCAGGGUCCCUGGCCACCAGGGAUAGAAGUGACCCUGUGAUGAGGGCCAUGUCCUUCCCCUUGUCCCUCCCUCUGCCAGCAUUUCACAGUUCCUUCCUGGGUCUUGGCAUGAGGCCUGGCACCAGGUGGGACCAGUGUUGUCAAGGACCCUUAUCCUUUGAGGAGGGUGAAGGGAGUGACAUUGCAGAGUCAGGUGACAGACCACAGGCCUCCCUAGAAACCCAGGGAAAACUCCCCUCCUGGGUUCAUGGAGGCUCUGCCCCACUGCCUUUGGGGGAUGUCGGUGGAGAGAAGCCUGCCUCCCUGCACGGGGACCUUGGCACGGCAGCUCUGUGAGCCUCGGUGUCUUCCUCUGUGAAACAGGAGUAAGGGGAAGUGUGGAGGCCUUCUCUCCUAGGACUGCGGAGUGGAUUCUGUGCAUUUGAAAAUAAAGUGCUUAAAUAGA